CAUCAUGUAGACUCCAAAUACAGUGAGAUGCUCAGUAGUUGCAUAUCCAAAGAAGCCUUUGAUGUCGUCAUAUUCUACGUUUACUUCGAAAAAGGUUCCACCCCCACCUCCAUAUGGACCAUGUGUCCUUCCAAGAUUGGUGCCAAACAUGAGUUGAGAUAUGCAAGGAAGGUCCGAACAGAUGUGUCUGACGUACCCAGAAACGGAGGUGAGGUAUUCAUCUUGCAUGAGAGUAAUCUGCAAGGCAAUUAGAACAAUGAUACACUUAGCUAUAGUGUAUCUGUUAGCAGGUGGCAGCCUAAUUAGAAAGUACAUCGAUUGAUGUUGGAGAGGCAUGCCUGGAAUAGUUCACCGUCGGAGCCUCCAUAUCUGGGAGUUACGCCAGUGGUGCCGUCUAUCUCGAAGGUUAUCUUAAUGGAGUUUACGCAUGAAGCGGCGCCAACGCUAAUGCCUGUGAUUUUGUCAGCAGGUUCCAUGCCCCAACGAGACUCGCUAUCGCAUGGACAGUUGCGGAAACCCCAUCCUCGAGCUUGCGCCGCCGUCUUGAUCACGUUUGAAGCCUGCACCACCAUGCAUCCAUCACAAACCAAAUAGAGUAGAAUAGAAACUGCAAUGUGUACUACUUAGGCUUCCCUGCAAAGGAAGCAAACCAAAUAUACGUAGCUCUCUCUCGCUCUCACCAUUCUGAAGCGAGCUCCUCUCGCACCGGAUGAUAUGCACACACUGGGACGAGAGCGAGUGGGAGUGUUUAUAGGAUCAAGGUGAGGUUGUUCAACGUCGAUCGAAGGUGAAAUGAUCGAGACUUCUAAUUCAGACUAAAGCUGGUAGUCAAUAUUUAAUUUAGACCGAGUGGAUAUUGGAUGGCCACAUUACUCUUAUUCAUGUGUGGAUGACAUCUUAAUCUAAAAUUAAUAUGACUUCAAAGUCCAGCUCCAUCCCAAGUCAUUAUUUAAAACUUCAUGGUCAUUCUUCAUGCGUGCACGCUGCAAUCCAUCCUUCCAUGCAUGAAUCCAUGCAUGCAUCGAUUAUCCUCUCUAUGCGAUCAACAUGGGACAUUGAAUGCAUCCAGAUUUGAAUCCAUUACCGAUAAAUCGGAUGGGCAUAUAUGUAUCCCAUAUCACAAAAUAAUAUUGUAGUCUGGCUUUUAUGUCAAGCAAUUAAAUGCAGUCUCUUUCUGUGAUCAGUUAAUGGAGAAUUAAGUUUGGUGUAAACCUAAUGUGUACGUUAAUAGAAUUAGUUGGGCAACCUUAACCUUAGAGAAUGAAGAGGGGUAGCAUUUAAAAUAGAAUUAAUUAGCACACUUUUUUUAGCUUGAAAACGGAGAAAACCAUGCCACUAGGAAAGUUUCUUCAUAACCUUCUGGAUAGUCGCCAUGCAUAUGCAAGAGAAUACGCUGUGGGCUGUGCAAAAGUGACUAAAUACUUAAUAGAAUUUGCUCUCUUGCCUUCAGAUUAGGUAGCAAAUAUCCCGUCUUAGAUCAUUAGACACAUGUGGGGAAAAUUAAAUCUGUUUUUAAUAUUAGUUAAGGACUCAAGUAUAUUUAAAAUUCUUCGUGAUAUUGGAGUUCAAUUUAAAGUCUUAGUUGUUCAGCAUAUAUAUAUAUAUAUAGAGAGAGAGAGAGAGAGAGAUAUGCAUGGUUCCGAGGAAUGUUAGUUUCUUUUUUUUAAUUAGAGUUUUCAUUGUAAAAAUAAAAAUCCUGACUAUACUACUGUUCUACAAAAAAUUUCAAUGUCAAAAAUUAAAAUUAAAUAAUGAUAGAUCAAAUAUACCAUACAUACUUUUUAAUGUCAUGUAAAGUUGUUAACUGAUUUGUAGGUGCAUCAUCGUUGAAUCUGAAGAAUAGGAUGAUGUCAAUUUAUAAGAAAAACUAGAUCAUCUUCUCCUUUCUUCUCAUCUUUCAUAAGAUCGUUAUAAACAAUGAAUUAUGAAUAAAAUAAAGAUGAGAGAAAAUCUAUAAUCUUUCAAUGGUUGAUUCACGUGAUUAAAAAUAGAUAAGAGAAAAUAUAUAAUAUUUUAAUAAUAUCAAGUCCUUAGAAAUGUAGAUCAUAGAGACAUAUAGAUCUUGAAGACAUUUCGCUGAUGGUGUUUGCGUGAUCGAAUUGAAUCGGAGAUGACUCCCAGGGGUAUUUUGCUUUUUCUUAUUUUUAUUAAAGGACCGGUAAGAAUAAUAUUCUAAUGUUCCAUAACAAAAUGUUCAUUAUGCAUUUAAUUAAAAGACCAUCGGGCUCGGGUCAUAUUCAAUUGUAAGACCAACAAAACUAUGAGUUUAAUCUUCCGAGCCAAGCUGAAAUUUGACUGUGCAGAUGAUCAGUCCACAUUAAUAUCUCACAUCAGUCCACUUUGUUUCUCCUUUUUUUGUUUUGGUACUUAGAAUUACUAAUAACUAAAUAUAUCACCCUUAUUUUUAUACGAACAUGACAGUAAAAAAAUUUAAAUUUUGGCCAGAUAACACCAUGGAAACAAAAAAAUCAAUAAUAACAAUAAUAAUUAUGCUCCAUGGUCCUUUAAAUCUGACUUGAGAGCCUAUCUAAAGUCAAUAUUUGAAAUUUCAUGAAAGGCUAUCCAAAAUCAUUAUUUAAAUCUGAUGUGAAAUUUCAUCAUGAAUAAUAACAAUCAAGUGGACUCGGAGGGAGUGGCACAAAAUCGCAAUACUAGAUCUACCUAAGAAUUAGUAUGUUAAAAGGAUUUGUUGAGUUAUUAGAGCUUUAGUUGAGUUAUUGAAGGUUCCAUUGUCAUGUUAAGGGAUUGUUGAUGCACGUCCAUGACCCUCUUAGAUUAUGGUUAUCCAUGUUUCUUUGAUGAUUUUUUGAGAUACAAAUUGUACAAGCUGUGAAGUGUCUUGUUUGGUUGGUUGGGAGCAUAGGGGUCAAAACAAUCUAUUUGCUCUAUUAUGGCACAUAUUUGCAGAUAUUGGAUCAUAUAAGUUAGUGAAGCACAAGAAUUUCCCUCAUGUUUACAAUAGGGUGACUUAGAAGUUGGCAUGUAGAGUUAGACUUAUUAUUAUCGGAUGGGCCUACGAUGUGUUCAAAAGUCAAAAAUGUUAUCAAUGAGACGCAUCAUAUUAUUAGUAGUGACAGAAGAUAGACUUUAUUUCACACUACUCAAACACACACCCAACUCAAACAUAGAUGCCAGUAACAGACAUUGGCAUCCUUAUUCAUCAUGGCACACAAGGGUUGGCUAAGCCAGCAUCACGUAGACUCCAAAUGCAGUGAGAUACUCUUCAGUUGCAUGACCAAAGAAGCCCUUAAUCUCGUCAUAUUCUACAUUGACUUCGAAAAAGGUUCCACCCCCACCUCCAUAUGGACCGUAUGUCUUUCCAAGAUUGGUGGUAAACGUGAGCUGAGAGACACAUGGAAAUUCAGAACAGUCGUAUUUGACAUACCCAGAAACGGAGGUGAGGUAUUCAUCUUGCAUGAGAGUAAACUGCAAGGCAAUUAGAGCAAUGAUACAUUUNNN
rnacentral:lncRNA from 1 species